rnacentral:rRNA from 1 species
UGAAAAGCUUUCGGAUGAGAUGUGGGUAGGGGUGAAAUUCCAAUCGAACGCGGAGAUAGCUGGUUCUCCCCGAAAUAGCUUUAGGGCUAGCCUGAGGUAGUAAGUAUAGGCGGUAGAGCACUGAUCGGGCUAGGGGCCGUAAAGGUUACCGAACCCUGUCAAACUCCGAAUGGAUAUACUGUAGAGCCUUGGAGUCAGACUACGAGUGAUAAGAUCCGUGGUCAAAAGGGAAACAGCCCAGACCACCAGCUAAGGUCCCCAAUGUCGUACUAAGUGGAAAAGGAUGUGGGGUUUCAUAAACAACCAGGAUGUUGGCUCAGAAGCAGCCACCAUUUAAAGAGUGCGUAAUAGCUCACUGGUCGAGAGACCCUGCGCCGAAGAUUCCCGGGGCUAAAGUACGAAACCGAAGCUGUGGCUGUAUACGUAAAGUAUACGGGGUAGGGGAGCGUUCCCAUAGGGUAGAAGUCGAACUGGAAGGUUCGGUGGACUUGUGGGAAGUGAGAAUGUUGGUAUGAGUAGCGAAAAGAAAGGUGAGAAUCCUUUCCACCGAAAGCAUAAGGAUUCCUGAGCAACGAUCGUCGUCUCAGGGUAAGUCGGGACCUAAUCCGAGGCAGAGAGCGUAGGAGAUGGACAACUGGUUGAUAUUCCAGUACCGGUAGUAAUUGUUUGAGCAAUGGAGUGACACAGAAGGGCAGGCAAGCAUGCGAAUGGAAGAGCAUGUGUAAGCGUGUAGGGUGGUGCAUAGGCAAAUCCGUGCACUGAAAGCCUGAGGCGUGAUGCGGAGUGAGCAGAGAUGCGAGCGAAGUUGUUGACCCCACACUGUCGAGAAAAGCUUCUAGUGAGAGAGCUACCGCCCGUACCGUAAACCGACACAGGUAUGCGGGGAGAGAAUCCUAAGGUGCGCGGGAGAACCCUCGUUAAGGAACUCGGCAAAAUGUACCCGUAACUUCGGGAUAAGGGUAGCCACUGUUGUGAAGUCCCAUGCGGAUGGAGCAUAGAGUGGUCGCAGAGAAGAGGCCCAAGCGACUGUUUACCAUAAACACAGGUGCCUGCUAAAGCGAAAGCUGACGUAUAGGUGCUGACACCUGCCCAGUGCCGGAAGGUUAAGGAAGGAUGUUCGGAUUAGUCCAAAGCAUUCGACUGAAGCCCCGGUGAACGGCGGCCGUAACUAUAACGGUCCUAAGGUAGCGAAAUUCCUUGUCGGGUAAGUUCCGACCCGCACGAAAGGUGUAACGAUUUGGGCACUGUCUCAACGAGGGACCCGGUGAAAUUGAAAUACCUGUGAAGAUGCAGGUUACCCGCGACUGGACAGAAAGACCCCAUGGAGCUUUACUGUAACCUGACAUUGGGUUUUGAUACAUUACGUACAGGAUAGGUGGGAGGCAUGGAAAGCUGGACGCUAGUCUGGCUGGAGCCGACGUUGGGAUACCACCCUUGAUGUAUUGAAAUUCUAACCGCGAGAGUAACGAAAUCCGGGACAGUGUCAGGCGGGCAGUUUGACUGGGGCGGUCGCCUCCGAAAGAGUAACGGAGGCGCCCAAAGGUUCCCUCAGCGCGGCCGGAAAUCGCGCGAAGAGUGUAAAGGCAGAAGGGAGCUUGACUGCGAGUCAAACACGACGAGCAGGUACGAAAGUAGGGCUUAGUGAUCCGGUGGUACCGAGUGGAAGGGCCAUCGCUCAACGGAUAAAAGCUACCCUGGGGAUAACAGGCUAAUCUCUCCCAAGAGUCCAUAUCGACGGGGAGGUUUGGCACCUCGAUGUCGGCUCAUCACAUCCUGGGGCUGAAGUCGGUCCCAAGGGUUGGGCUGUUCGCCCAUUAAAGUGGUACGUGAGCUGGGUUCAGAACGUCGUGAGACAGUUCGGUCCCUAUCCAUCGCGGGCGCAAGAGAUUUGAAGGGGGCUGCUCCUAGUACGAGAGGACCGGAGUGGACGAACCGCUGGUGUACCAAUUAUCCCGCCAGGGGUACAGUUGGGUAGCUACGUUCGGAAAGGAUAAACGCUGAAAGCAUCUAAGCGUGAAACCAGCCUUAAGAUGAGAUCUCUCAUAGAGCAAUCUAGUAAGACACCUUAAAGAAGAUGAGGUUGAUAGGUCGGGAGUGUAAGUACAGCAAUGUAUUGAGCGGACCGAUACUAAUAUGUCGAGGGCUUGACUUA